GAUGAAGAACGUAGCGAAAUGCGAUACGUAAUGUGAAUUGCAGAAUCCAGUGAAUCAUCGAGUCUUUGAACGCACAUUGCGCCCCCUGGUAUUCCGGGGGGCAUGCCUGUCCGCGCGUCAUUGCUGCCCUCAAGCACGGCUUGUGUGUUGGGCCCCGUCCUCCGAUUCCGGGGGACGGGCCCGAAAGGCAGCGGCGGCACCGCGUCCGGUCCUCGAGCGUAUGGGGCUUUGUCACCCGCUCUGUAGGCCCGGCCGGCGCUUGCCGAUCAACCCAAAUUUUUAUCCAGGUUGACCUCGGAUCAGGUAGGGAUACCCGCUGAACUUAAGCAUAUCAAUAAGCGGAGGA
rnacentral:misc_RNA from 1 species